rnacentral:sRNA from 1 species
UGUGAGCCACCAUGCCCGGCCACAAGAGAAUACUUGUACUUGGCUGUACAAUGUGGGUGCUUCACCCUUAAUUACGAAGAGUUCCCUAAUCACCGAUCACCUUUCAGAGGAGAAGAGUUUUAAAGAAUCCUCUCUGUUCGACAGGGUUUUAAGAGAGCAGUUAACUACUGUAGAUAAAGAAACACUUCAAGGGGCAGCUAAACCAGAUCUCCUCCGGCAAACACGACAUAUAAUAUUUUUAUAAUGAAUGGAAAGACAUGGUGGCAAAAUUCUGAAGAAAAAAAUUUCACAAAAUGUGCAAAAA